rnacentral:rRNA from 1 species
ACAGCAGCCGCCACGGGAAUACGUAGGUGGCAAGCGUUGUCCGGAAUUAUUGGGCGUAAAGGGCUCGCAGGCGGUUUCUUAAGUCUGAUGUGAAAGCCCCCGGCUCAACCGGGGAGGGUCAUUGGAAACUGGGAAACUUGAGUGCAGAAGAGGAGAGUGGAAUUCCACGUGUAGCGGUGAAAUGCGUAGAGAUGUGGAGGAACACCAGUGGCGAAGGCGACUCUCUGGUCUGUAACUGACGCUGAGGAGCGAAAGCGUGGGGAGCGAACAGGAUUAGAUACCCGUGUAGUCCCUGUCUCUUAUAC